rnacentral:rRNA from 2 species
UUCUUACACCGAAUGCUUGCAUUCAUCGUAAGAAGUUGAGUGGCGGACGGGUGAGUAACACGUGGGUAACCUGCCUAAAAGAAGGGGAUAACACUUGGAAACAGGUGCUAAUACCGUAUGUCUCUAAGGAUCGCAUGACCCUUAGAUGAAAGAUGGUUCUGCUAUCGCUUUUAGAUGGACCCGCGGCGUAUUAACUAGUUGGUGGGGUAACGGCCUACCAAGGUGAUGAUACGUAGCCGAACUGAGAGGUUGAUCGGCCACAUUGGGACUGAGACACGGCCCAAACUCCUACGGGAGGCAGCAGUAGGGAAUCUUCCACAAUGGACGCAAGUCUGAUGGAGCAACGCCGCGUGAGUGAAGAAGGUCUUCGGAUCGUAAAACUCUGUUGUUAGAGAAGAACACGAGUGAGAGUAACUGUUCAUUCGAUGACGGUAUCUAACCAGCAAGUCACGGCUAACUACGUGCCAGCAGCCGCGGUAAUACGUAGGUGGCAAGCGUUGUCCGGAUUUAUUGGGCGUAAAGGGAACGCAGGCGGUCUUUUAAGUCUGAUGUGAAAGCCUUCGGCUUAACCGGAGUAGUGCAUUGGAAACUGGAAGACUUGAGUGCAGAAGAGGAGAGUGGAACUCCAUGUGUAGCGGUGAAAUGCGUAGAUAUAUGGAAGAACACCAGUGGCGAAAGCGGCUCUCUGGUCUGUAACUGACGCUGAGGUUCGAAAGCGUGGGUAGCAAACA